UACUGGAACAAGGCAAUACAGCCCGGAAAAACCACAACACCCCAAAAAGGAAGCUACAAAAGAAGGACGGGAGCUUCUGCAGCGCCUCGCCCGGUCACCCGCACCCCUCUUGCGCACGUGACGGGGCCAAACGGACACAGCCCGCCCGCUCCCCAGCCUCAAUCAGUGCAUUUCGGGGCAGGCGCGUCACCGGGCAGCCGUUGGGGGCCCUUAAAGCGUCUGGCGCACAGUGUGACGUCACUCCCGCGUCCUGCGCGCCGGACAUGGCUGCGGAGAUGCGGGCGUACAGCCCGGAGGUGGUGUUGGGCGGCGCAGCAGACCAUGGAGAUGAAGAUGACUCCGAUUCUUCUUUUGAUAUGGAGGUGAACCUAGUCGAAUGGCAGAGCAGUGCUGAAGAGGAUAGUGAAAACGAACUCGACAUUAUUAAUCUUCCUAAAACGCCAGAGACCUGCCUACAGAUGAAUAUGGUUUAUCAGGAAGUUAUUGAAGAGAAGAUCAAGGAGGUCAAUGUUUUGCUUGCUGAAAACAAAGAACAGCAGGAAAAACUCACCAGGGAGCUUGCUGGACCUAGAGCAGCAAAAUCCAGUGAUGGCAAAGCCAUGCCAACAAACAUAUUCUUGGGCCAUUUUAAGAGGCCGUACUUUAAGGAUAAGACAUCAGGAAUGGGUCCUCCUAGCAACAGCGAUGCCCGAGACAAGGCAAUGCAAGGCAUGAAACCUUUUGAGGAUCUGAUCACUAUAAAAUGGAAGAGCCGAGAGAAGCUGUUGCUGCGUCAGGCUGUGGUGAGUGAUCAUUUGCAGCGUCUGCUUCAGCCAAAACUUCUGAAGCUUGAUUUUCUGACUGACAAACGGGAAAGACUCAAGGAUGAAAUGGCAAGACAGAUCUUAACAAAGCAAAUCCAAGAUGUGGAGCAUGAGCUGCGUGACAUCAACCUGCUGCCAGAGGAGGUUUUGCUGGGAAACAGAUUGGAUAAGUGCGACUGGGACAAGAUUGCCAACGUCGAUUUUGAGGGAACACGUGGGGCAGAAGAGCUGAAGAAAUACUGGCAGAAUUCUGAACAUCCUGAUAUCAGCAAGAAAGAGUGGAAUGAGGAAGAAAUUGAGAAACUCAAAGAAAUUGCUGCCAGACACAAAUGCCUAAACUGGGAAGCGGUAACCCAGGAGCUGGGGACGCAGAGGACUGCCUUUCAGUGCCUGCAGACGUUUCAGGCAAACAGCAAAGAUUUCAAGAGGAGUGAGUGGACCCCAGAAGAGGACCAGAUGCUCUCGCAGCUGGUGCAGGAUAUGCGGGUUGGGAGCCACAUCCCAUACCGGAAAAUUGCCUACUACAUGGAAGGGAGGGACUCUGCCCAGCUGAUCUAUCGAUGGACCAGGCGACUAGAUCCUAACUUGAAGCAUGGAUCCUGGACUCCAGAGGAAGAUGCUCUGCUGUUGAAGGCGGUUGCAAAAUAUGGGGAGCGGGACUGGUAUAAAAUUCGAAUGGAGGUGCCAGGGAGGAAUGACAUUCAGUGCCGAGACAGGUACUUGUUUUCUCUGCACUAUGAUAUAAGGAAGGGCAAAUGGAGCAAGGAAGAAGAAAGGAAGCUGAUUGAACUAACAGAAAAAUAUGGCGUGGGUCACUGGGCAAAGAUCGCUUUGGAGCUGCCCCACCGCUCAGGGACUCAGUGCCUCAGCAAGUGGAAGAUCCUCCUGGGCUAUCGGAAGAAAAGGAGGAAGAAGAGGAAUAAAUUUCGCCUGAAGUGGAGAUCAGAGUCCAGCAGUGAAGAUUCUGACCUGGAACUGGUGGAAGACAGUACGGAGGAGUCGUCGUCCAAGAACCCCAGGAGUAAAGCCUGGAGGGUGCCCAACAUGGACUUGUGGAUCCCCACAAGACAGAAUCUGUCUGGCGUUCCUGAGGAGCUGCCUUCUGUGACUCUGCUUUCAAAAGGCUUUGAUGUGAACCGAAAGCGGAAGGCUGUCCGGGGGGCUCUUCUUUUUGCGGAAAAUGACCAAGCGCCAGAAGAUCUACAGUCCAGGACAUCUCCAUUGGUUAAUGGUCAGGCAAAGGAGGAAUUAGCUGUGGAAGACACCAAAAUUUCCAAAAGCAAAAAGGACUCAUGGAGGAUUUCUUUGGCCUACGUGAAAUGUGUGUUGCGGAGAAACAGCUACGAGGUGCAAAGGAGAAAUAGAGAGAGAAGCAGAAAGAAGCGCUUUGCUUCUACUUCACAGAGGGGUCUUGGGAGAGAUUUGAUCCCUCCAGCUGGAGAGACUGCCAGCAGCCAGAGAUUUGGAAUGGGGAAGAUGACGCUUGCUCGGCGGCUGAUGAUGGCGGUGACCCCGUGGGCUGGGAGCAUGGUGCAGGCCUGGGCCCUUCAGGUCAAGAGGGAAACGACUCACAAGUCCAAAGCUGAAUUCAUCCUCAAGCACCUGCAGGUGGCCAGCCUCAAAAGCACACCCUUGUUCACACUUCUCCUUCAGCUGCUCUGUAUUGAUGUUGGUGGCUGCAUGAAAAUCAUCCAGAAAAGGAAAUCCCGACAGCUGAAGUUCCUGAAGGUUAUUGCUGGCAACGCAGGACGCCCUGAUCAGGCGUCUCCUGCUCAGGAUUCUACAGGUAUUUGCCCUCUUCAGCUUGUGCUUGAAGCUGAUCUUCCCGGCCACCAUCACCAGCCUUGGGUGGAGAGGACUGGUCUCCUCAGAGUUUGCCAGCCUUUGCUUGGGAAUACCCAAUUGAGGCACCAAGCGGUCCCCAGCAAGAGGCUCGUCCCUUUGAAGGCCAAGGAGGACCAUCUUCCUGCUCAUCUUGGGCUUCCUUUUUCACCUCCUCGCCCAACUCCCAAACCCAAAACUGUCUCUGAACUGCUAAGGGAGAAGAGGCAGCGGGACUGGAGGGCCAAGGGGGUCCCGUCAAAGAGGGCCAUCCUUGUGCCUCAGUUGCUGCUGCCCUCCUCUGUGUUAAUCCAGCACCCAGUGGUUCCUCCAACUCAGACAAGGUGUGAGGGUGCUCCUGCAGCUUCAAAUGGUCUACCAUGGCCCAGCCUCUGUCGUGUCGGAGCUUCUGCACCCUCUGGUCCAUCAGCGCAGAGUAACUUGGCAUUGCUACAGAAGUCUGUGGGGGACACGAAGGACUCUCAAGGUGAAGAGACUUCUGCCGGAAGCAAAGGAAAUGGCCGUGGUAAAGAGUGCAGCUUGCAGAAGGGAAGCCAGGGAGCACCAACAGCUGCCAGUUCUGCCCCUUUGUUGCCAAAGCAGUCCCAUUUGCCUCUCCAGGUCCCUGUGGCUUCUCUGGGCCCCACCAGUGUGGAGCCUGGCCCAAAGAAGGCUCCUCACUCAGCAGCAGCUGCCCAUGGCCUGGGACCAGUUGAGUUGCUGCCCCAGUCAGUAGCCCUCCCGCCUGGCUCCGGUGAGGUGACCAAGCACCUCCUUCCCAUAACCUGGCUGCUCACUGCACAGGGCCUCAUUCCAGUGACCGUUGUGAGCCUCCCCCAUCCAGACAAGCAGCCCUGUGCCGUGAGUAGUCCUGGCAUCACUCCAGGUCUGAGCCAAGCAGCAGAGGCCUUUCCUGGGCGUGCAGGCCCAGAUGCUGCUGGUCAGCAAUUGCAAGGAGCCUUUCACAGUGCCCUUCAGAAGGACGGACAGCUGGACUCAACACGCCCUGCUGUUCUGCUUGCUCCUGUAGCCUCCGCAGAAUUGCAGCGCCCCUUGCCCGCGGCUUCCCCUCAGGUGCCCCUUUUGCCCAGUGCUUCCGUGGGGAAUGUCCAAAACAGAACCCAUUUCACCCAGGAACCCCAAAGCCGCAUGGCAAGGAAUUCUCAUCCUGCCAUUCCUGAAGGGGUCACAAGUCCCCCAGAGAAAUCGUGUUCUGCACCACCUUUGCUGCAGGAGAAGGUCACCCCGGACUAUCGCCUUCUGUCAACCGAAGAUGUAGCAGCAGUGAAGGAGUGGGCCAAGGGAGGCUCGGGCCCAAGGGCUCCACUGCUGGAAACCAGCCUGCCUUAUCUGCCACCUUUUCUGUGUAGUCUAAAAACACUGUCAGCACUGCUGCUCAAUAAAGCCACCCUGGAGCAGACUGCCGCACACCUGGGGGCUGCAGGAGGGCUGCAGGAGGCCAGGCAGCCGGUGAAUCUGAAUGCUGUGCGGGAAGAAGUGUGCCAGAGGCUCCAGUGCAACCCUGCCUAUCAGCUUCUGAAAGCCCGCUUCCUAGCAGCCUUCGCCUUUCCAGCUGCUCUUGCAGCCCUCUCUCCUGCUAGGGUGACCACCACGCUCUCUGGAGAAGGGUGGCCGGAAGGUAGCCACAAGGGAGACUCACCCAUGGCACCAUCAUCAUCAUCCUCUUCAUCAUCAGAGGAAGAAGGUGGCCAUAGAGCAUCUGAGAGACUGGAGGAGCAAAAUACCAUUCAGACUGACAUGCCAGGGGUUCGGAGGAGCACACGUCUCAGGAGACGGGGAAGGCACCUGUAGGAGGAACAGGCUCUCUUGAGAACCCGUUGGAUAUUUUGCACUAAUUCAUGGCAAGGCCAUCACCUUGAUGAUAGGAAAAGAGAAACCAGCUGGGAGCAGCAGUCCGCCUGUGGGUCGGCCUUGGAGAAGGAACCGGUGCGACGGGCGGACCGCAAAAUGGACAAACAGCAGUGGGCCUACGCAGCACUGCAGCAACGGACCUCGGAAUUGAGUCGAGAGCGAGACCAACUUCGAACCAACCUAUUGACCCUACAGCAUCAGGUGGCGUCGUUAAUGGACGACCGUGACCGGGAGAGACCCUCUCAGGCUGAGAGCCCGAUGGUGGACUAUGUCACCAACGACCUGACUGUGGCCUCCAGCCCCCCUGCUCGGCGAGCGACUAACCCAACACCUCACUACCCAGCCAACUCAAGCACCAACCGACGACCCCACAGGUCUGGGUGACCUUCAGCGGAGAUCUGGACAAACUAGCCUUCUUUCUAAUACAGGAAGGCUCGUAUAUGGAGGUCCAUGGGGCUGGCUUCCACACAGACCGCGAGCGAGUUUUUGAACUCGGGACCCAGUUGAGAGGGGAAGCGGCAAACUUGGUUGGUCGGGCUCGUGGAGGUGAAUGCCGCAGAGCUCUAUAACCUAGAGCAAUUCCUCCUGGCCCUACGUUUUGAGGACCCGCUAACCGAAGAAAAGGUCCGAGCCUCUCUCCAGCGACAAGGAACCCGCUCCGUUAGCGACCCACCCUGAGCCCUAUGGGGAUACAGCGGAAUAUAAAUUGAAUAAAUAAAUAAAUAAAUACACC